rnacentral:rRNA from 1 species
CACGUAGGCACCAAGCGUUGUCCGGAUUUAUUGGGCGUAAAGAGCGUGUAGGCGGUCCGGUAAGUCAGCUGUGAAAGUCAAGGGCUCAACCCUUGAAAGCCGGUUGAUACUGUCGGGCUAGAGUCCGGAAGAGGCGAGUGGAAUUCCCGGUGUAGCGGUGAAAUGCGUAGAGAUCGGCAGGAACACCCAGGGGGAAACCAGUCGACUGGGCAUCUACUGACGCUGAGGUGCGAGAGCGUGGGGAGCGAACCGG